GGCUUAGAAGCAGCCAUCAUUUAAAGAAAGCGUAAUAGCUCACUGGUCGAGUCGGCCUGCGCGGAAGAUGUAACGGGGCUAAACCAUGCACCGAAGCUGCGGCAGCGACACUAUGUGUUGUUGGGUAGGGGAGCGUUCUGUAAGCCUGCGAAGGUGACCUGUGAGGGUUGCUGGAGGUAUCAGAAGUGCGAAUGCUGACAUAAGUAACGAUAAAGCGGGUGAAAAGCCCGCUCGCCGGAAGACCAAGGGUUCCUGUCCAACGUUAAUCGGGGCAGGGUGAGUCGACCCCUAAGGCGAGGCCGAAAGGCGUAGUCGAUGGGAAACAGGUUAAUAUUCCUGUACUUGGUGUUACUGCGAAGGGGGGACGGAGAAGGCUAUGUUAGCCGGGCGACGGUUGUCCCGGUUUAAGCAUGUAGGCUGGUUAUCCAGGCAAAUCCGGAUAAUCAAGGCUGAGGUGUGAUGACGAGGCACUACGGUGCUGAAGUAACAAAUGCCCUGCUUCCAGGAAAAGCCUCUAAGCAUCAGGUAACAUCAAAUCGUACCCCAAACCGACACAGGUGGUCAGGUAGAGAAUACCAAGGCGCUUGAGAGAACUCGGGUGAAGGAACUAGGCAAAAUGGUGCCGUAACUUCGGGAGAAGGCACGCUGGUGUGUAGGUGAAGUCCCUGCGGAUGGAGCUGAGACCAGUCGAAGAUACCAGCUGGCUGCAACUGUUUAUUAAAAACACAGCACUGUGCAAACACGAAAGUGGACGUAUACGGUGUGACGCCUGCCCGGUGCCGGAAGGUUAAUUGAUGGGGUUAUCCGUAAGGAGAAGCUCUUGAUCGAAGCCCCGG
rnacentral:rRNA from 1 species